rnacentral:rRNA from 1 species
AUACGGAGGGUGCAAGCGUUAUUCGGAAUCACUGGGCGUAAAGGACGCGGAGGCGGGUUGGCAAGUCAGAUGUGAAAUCCUACAGCUUAACUGUAGAACUGCAUUUGAAACUGCUAACCUAGAGUAUGGGAGGGGGAGAUGGAAUUAGUGGUGUAGGGGUAAAAUCCGUAGAUAUCACUAGGAAUACCGAAAGCGAAGGCGAUCUCCUGGAACAUAACUGACGCUAAGGCGUGAAAGCGUGGGGAGCAAACAGGAUUAGAAACCCUUGUAGUCC